CACUGAGGAACAGUUAGUGUGAAGGUUCUGGAAAGGGACCUUGCGCCACGCUGUGUAGGAACUACUAAGCGUCGGUCGUUAACCGUUCGCAGAUUGCGUGAGGGAACGUACGCCUUCAGGAGAGAGUUGAGGUAGGAGGGAGCUGUUCCAGACAAGGUCUUGUAGGUGAGCAUCAAGGCCUUGAAUUUGAUGCGGGCGGAUACAGGAAGUCAGUGGAGGGAGAUGAAGACGGGUGUGACUUGGGUUCUCUCGGGCUGGUUGAAGACGAGGCGUGCUGCUGCAUUCUGAAUCAUCUGAAGGGGUUUGAUGGAGCUGCCGGGAGGCCCGAGAGUAGUGAGUUGCAGUAGUCCAGUUUUAAUAUGACAAGAGCCUGGACUAGUAUCUGUGUAGCCAACAUCGAAGAACAUCGUUAUCACCUAUGAUAAAAAAAAAUAGGUUGUGCUUUUGCAUAUGCAUGUGCUCGUCUUUUUAUUGUGUGUAUCUCUGCGAGAACAAAAAACUUCGAUGUCUUCUAUACAUAAGGCUUACAAACUUUUUUUAAGGCAGAGCUCCACCCAAUGAAAUGGUGGCCUUUCCAGCAGGCAGGAGCCCAGAACUCAGCCAAAUAAAAGUCUCUCCAGGGUACAAAAGAUCUUUGCACUGCUUUUACGUGAACUCCACCUAACAUUUCCCAUCGUCCGACAAAGUUCCAUGACAUCAAUGUUAAGAGUUCUUUACUGCUUGGAAAUUGGACAUUUUGCCAAAAUUCCUGAAGACCGGAGACAAGUCGAGUCGGGAAACGGGACUGAUUAGAAACACAGCAGAGACGGUGGCUUCCGCGCGUCUGCUCUCGCUAGAGAGAGAGAGAACUGAUUUUCAGUGUGCAGUAAUUUCACAGUGUCUCAGUACUUGAACAUGAAUGCACACCUUAUAUACUCACAAACAAAGCAAUGUAGACCGCAUCACUUUUAAAUUCUUGAUUUUGAUUGGUCAGAACGUCAGUGGGUCAUACUUAGCCAUUUCUGUAGUAAGAGCUUAUACAAGGACAUCAAAUCUAGAGUCACUCUAAUUGAGGGUCAGAGAAAGUAUACCAUGUAGAAAAAAGUCUGUGUUGGAAUAUAAGCUGCUAUAAAUGUUCAUAAAGGGCUUAUGUAGGUGUCAUUUUGGAACAAGAGAUGUUAUUAAAUGUUUAUGAAGGGCUUAUGUAGGUGUCAUGUUGGAACAAGAGAUGUUAUUAAAUGUUUAUAAAAUGCAUAGGUAGUCAUGUUGGAACAAGAGAUAUUAAAUGUUUAUAAAGGGCUUAUGUAGUGUCAUGUUGGAACAAGAGAUGUUAUUAAAUGUUUAUCAAACGCAUAUGUAGUCAUGCUGGAACAAGAGAUGUUAUUAAAAGUUUAUAAAGGGCUUAUGUAGGUGUCGUGUUGGAACAAGAGAUGUUAUCAAAUGUUUAUAAAGGGCUUAUGUAGUGUCAUGUUGGAAGAAGAGAUGUUAUUAAAUGUUCAUAAAGGGCUUAUGUAGUGUCAUGUUGGAACAAGAGAUGUUAUUAAAUGUUCAUAAAGGGCUUAUGUAGUGUCAUGUUGGAACAAGAGAUGUUAUCAAAUGUUUAUAAAACGCAUAUGUAGUCAUGCUGGAACAAAAGAUGUUAUCAAAUGUUUAUAAAGGGCUUAUGUAGUGUCAUGUUGCAACAAGAGAUGUUAUCAAAUGUUUAUAAAGGGCUUAUGUAGGUGUCAUUUUGGAACAAGAGGAGUUAUUAAAUGUUUAUAAAGGGCUUAUGUAGGUGUCAUUUUGGAACAAGAGGAGUUAUUAAAUGCUUAUAAAGGGCUUAUGUAGGUGUCAUGUUGCAACAAGAGAUGUUAUCAAAUGCUUAUAAAGGGCUUAUGUAGUGUCAUGUUGCAACAAGAGGAGUUAUUAAAUGCUUAUAAAGGGCUUAUGUAGGUGUCAUGUUGCAACAAGAGAUGUUAUCAAAUGUUUAUAAAGGGCUUAUGUAGUGUCAUGUUGGAACAAGAGAUGUUAUCAAAUGUUUAUAAAGGGCUUAUGUAGGUGUCAAGUUGGAACAAGAGAUGUUAACAAAUGUUUAUAAAGGGCUUAUGUAGUGUCAUGUUGCAAAAAGAGAUGUUAUUAAAUGUUUAUAAAGGGCUUAUGUAGUGUCAUGUUGCAACAAGAGAUGUUAUCAAAUGUUUAUAAAGGGCUUAUGUAGUGUCAUGUUGCAACAAGAGAUGUUAUUAAAUGUUCAUAAAGGGCUUAUGUCGGUGUCACAUUUCUUUGUCCUUUGCUAAAUGAAUAAGAAUAAUAACAAAAGGAAUAAUUCAUGAACGUAACUAUAUACAGAUAUAUGUAUGCUCCAGUUUCCUGAGUGUAAGAGUGACUACCCGGGCUCGUGAGCAAUUGCUGACUGAAUAAAAUACUUACGUGCACAUUCAAGUCUUGGUAGUGAUUUCUCAUUCUACAGGUGAAUUUCCACUCCACUUCGGUUUGAGACGAA
ensembl:lncRNA